UUUUAGCCCCGAUUGCAGUGGCAUCCUUUUUUGGUGGCUGAGGCUCUCGAAGCUACCAAUAAAGAUAGAACGGAAAGCGGGACGGGGA
rnacentral:sRNA from 1 species